GGCCUGUGGCUCAGUGGUAGAGCAUUUGCCUCACAUGCGUGAGGCCCUGGGUUUGAUCCUCAGCACCA
rnacentral:tRNA from 1 species